CAGAUUGUCUGACCAGCUGCUCAUAUGCCAAAUAAAACAAGAUCCAGGAAACAGGGACUGGACCCAAAAUGCAGACAUGGAAGCACAGCAGGUUCAGUGAAUGGCAUUUAUUGAACCAAGAGAAAGAAAACUUACAGGGUCGUUGGGGGCUGGAGCCAAUAACAGCUGGCACUGGGUGAGAGGCGGGGUACACCCUGGACAGCUUGCCAGUCCAUCUCAGGGCACCAGCUCUUUAAGCUUCUUAAAAAAAAAAAAGCUUAAAGAGCUGGGCACUGUAGGGAAGGUUAUUGAAACAAAAGUAACAAUGGAUUUGUGGACUGUUGGGAUUGGGACUAUUUUGAUUUGUGAAUUGAUACACAUUUGUGAGUAUUUUGAUGGUGAAUGUACGAUCGAAUCACAAUAAAUGACUGUGCCCAUGUUCACUGUCACUCAGUGCAACAAUGUGGCUCUUUGAUGACUGUUAGUAGAAUCUGUUAAUUCAUCCUACUAACAGUCAUGUU